AGCUUUGCGCAGUGGCAGUAUCGUAGCCAAUGAGAUUUAUCCGAGGAGCGAUUAUUGCUAAUUGAAAAUUUUCCCAAUACCCUGUCUUGACGACUUGAAAUAUAGGUGGCAUUGGCAAUUUUUGACAGUUUCUACAGAGA
ensembl:snRNA U4 U4 spliceosomal RNA